AAGGCUUUAGCUUAAUUAAAGUGUCUGUUUUGCAUACAGAAGAUGUGGGUUAAUGUCCUGCAGGUUUUA
rnacentral:tRNA from 1 species